ensembl:lncRNA
AUUUUCUUUAAUCUAGCAAUGAUUCUUCAUGACAUAUUUGUUCUUAAUGGAAAAGCGUCUUAAAGACAAACAUGGAUUGAGGAAGACAAAAAGCUACAGGAGGUGCUCUGUAACCUAUUGGUUCCAGGAACGUUCUCUCUGAACUCUUUCUGUGACCCCAAUUUCAUCCUAUGUCCAUGGUCUCUUUGGAUGCCCCAGUCACCCGUAAUUGGUUUUGACGGGUCUAUGUUUUGCAGUGUGUGUGAACACGCUGUAUUUGGUGUACCAUGUCCAUGAGGUUCAUGGGAAGAAGCUAGCAAAGCCCUGCCCAAAUCUAAACUUCCCCCUCCUCUUGUCUCCUCCUCUCCAAUCCAGAUCCAUUGGCUGGGAUCUCUGUGGUGGAAUGCUGCUGGGACCCCCUUCUAACCUCCCCCCAACCCUCCCCUUGAGUUCACCCAUCCACCCAUUAGGAAUUCCAGCAGGGCAUUGUGGGUGGGAUGAAUGGGGUCAGAGCCAAGGAAACAAAUGCCGCCCACCCCCCUCUACAUUGGCACAGAAAUGACCAGAAGGCUGUUCUGUGCCGCUGCUGUCCUCCUCCCGCUCUAGAGGAGCAUCACGCGCUCGUGACGGCAGCAUCUUUUGCGUCGUGUUCCUCUCCACAGCAUCACCCUUACAAAAGACUCAAGGCUAUAUGAUUGUCGUAUUCUUUCUCUGUGUUGAUUCAUGCUGAGCUUCUGAGCGUGUGGACGCGCUUUCUCACACGUAUUAACGUACACUGCAGUGCCUUGAAUAUGUGGAGAGCAGUGGGGAGUGGUUAUUCACGUCAGGGAGCUGCGUUCCAGUGCUUACGUUCAUGUACCUUGCCAGAGCCUGAGUUCACACACGCAACGCUUAAGCACGACUUGAAUUCGUCAGUGAUCCUCCAUGACAGGGUUUUGUCUUCCUCUGUCUCCUCUCCAAAAAGCAGACAAUCUUGAGGGUUUGCUGCCACGAGCUCUUCAUUAGUUGCACUUGCAGUAGCUAUUUCCUAUUCUGUUGAACAGGUUUUAAAAAGGGCAUAAAAAGUCUUAAUUAACCCUUCCACAAAUGAAUGCCUUUAAAUCUUAAAUCGGACUUAAAUUCAUAAAGUCAUGGUAUUGUUGCAUACACUGUAAAAAAAAAAAAAAAAGAAAAAAAGGAAUCUUCCUCUGUAGGCCUAUUUAGGGCUCAAGCCUGGAGGG